UACGUAGGGGGCGAGCGUUGUCCGGAGUUACUGGGCGUAAAGCGCUUGUAGGCGGUCCACCAAGUUUGGGGUGACAGUUGCCGACUUAAUCGGCAAAGUGCCUCAAAGACUGGCGGACUUGAGGGCCACAGAGGGACAUGGAACUCCAGAUGUAGUGGUGAAAUGCGUAGAUAUCUGGAAGAACACCAAAGGCGAAGGCAGUGUCCUGGGUGGUCGCUGACGCUGAGAGGCGAAAGCCAGGGGAGCGAACGGG
rnacentral:rRNA from 1 species